rnacentral:rRNA from 1 species
UGAGGAAUAUUGGUCAAUGGGCGGGAGCCUGAACCAGCCAAGUCGCGUGAGGGAAGACGGCCCUACGGGUUGUAAACCUCUUUGUCGGGGAGCAAGAAAGGGUAUGCAUACCCUACUGAGAGUACCCGAAGAAAAAUGCAUCGGCUAACUCCGUGCCAGCAGCCGCGGUAAUACGGAGGAUGCGAGCGUUAUCCGGAUUUAUUGGGUUUAAAGGGUGCGCAGGCUGUCUGUCAAGUCAGCGGUAAAAGUAGCGGGGCUCAACCCCGUCGAGCCGUUGAAACUGAUAGGCUAGAGUGAGCGAGAAGUAUGCGGAAUGCGUGGUGUAGCGGUGAAAUGCAUAGAUAUCACGCAGAACUCCGAUUGCGAAGGCAGCAUACCGGCGCUCAACUGACGCUCAGGCACGAAAGCGUGGGUAUCGAACAGGAUUAGAUACC